rnacentral:tRNA from 1 species
AGGGGUGUAGCGCAGCUUGGUAGCGCGUCUGCUCCCAAAGCAGAAUGUCGUAGGUACUCCUUUGGAGAACGCUAGCGCGAACAAAUCCUGCCACCCCGA